UUAUCUGAAGAUCAUUUAGGUUAAUGAUGGAAGUUCAGUGUCACAACAAUUACUAUGGAAUAUUGCUCCAUGGUUCCAGAUGUUUUCUAAAAAUGUUAUAACUUUGUCGCUGGACUUAGGUCAUAUUUAUUGCCAUCCAGAGGUUACCUUCUAAAAAAGAAGAGUAGAGACUGUACUGUUUCUUGCCACUAUGUCACUGAAGUAAAAAGCAUGUGGCACACCUAAUGUUUAUCUCCUUUAUAUAUCACAGUGAUAUAUCAACCAGGUUGUUGUCUGCAACAAGUGAUCUGUGAUGUGGUAAAGAUAACAGCAGUUAGCAGACCAUAGAUCCCACUUGUCUCUUCACGGAGUUCCUACAUUUAUAAGGGAUAUCGGACUUGAGAUAUUUGAUGUGAUUCUUAUAGACCCAGGGCCUGGAUGCAUGUGAUUAGGUAAGAAUCUCAGUUUUCAUUUGUUUAAAAAAGUAAUUUCUAGCCUUUGUGGUUCCAUAGAAAAGCUUGAAAACAUGCCCCGGAUACACCCAAAAGGCACAGAAACUGGGAAACAAAUAAAAC